AGGGGUAUAGCUCAGUUGGUAGAGCGACGGUCUCCAAAACCGUAGGCCCUGGGUUCGAAUCCUAGUGCCCCUGCCA
rnacentral:tRNA from 1 species